rnacentral:rRNA from 1 species
UACGUAGGCAGCAAGCGUUGUUCGGAGUUACUGGGCGUAAAGGGUGCGUAGGCGGCGCGGUAAGUCGGGUGUGAAAUCUCGGGGCCUAACUCCGAAACUGCAUUCGAUACUGCCGUGCUUGAGGACUGGAGAGGAGACUGGAAUUUACGGUGUAGCGGUGAAAUGCGUAGAUAUCGUAAGGAAGACCAGUGGCGAAGGCGGGUCUCUGGACAGUUCCUGACGCUGAGGCACGAAGGCCAGGGGAGCAAACGGG